GCCACUUGAUAUUUCUUAUAAGUUUUCUUUUUCUUCUUAAAGAAAUUUGUGAUAUCUUUUGGCUAGCUCUUCUGUUAUUUAUAAUAGAAAUUGUUGUUUGGAUAUAUUUUGUCCACUUGUUUCUUUAUAAAGAAUUCAUGCAUUUAUAGUAGCCAAAUCAAGUAUGUUGAAAGAAACUUGUAGAAACCAUUUAUAAGAUUUUGAUUUGAUGCUGUACUUUCUUACCAUUUGAUUGGUAACAUCGACGCCGAAUUUGGUUUUGUUAUAAUAUACAACUGUUUUAGGUAUUCGUUUUCUGUCGUUAUUGAUUUUUAUUCUUUUAUGCUUUGAACUUAGUAUUGUAACUUAUUUAGGUGGUUUGGAUUUAUAAAUUGUUAGAGUACAAUUGUUUGUUUUGUAAAGUAUUAUCGAAAAACGUUCCAAUUCGUCUUUUGCUGAUUUUGCUAGCUGGGGCAAUUCUCUUCUGUUUCUCCGGAUAGUUAUGAGUAAUGUUGUUCAUUCUGCCAAUAAUUUUGUCGUCAGUGAUGCGCUCGUGAAAAAGUUGUCCGUCGUAAUAUUUCUCUAACAUUCAGUAAAUAGUUCAACUAUUUUGAUAAGAAACGGUUUUGAUAAGAAACGGAGGUGACAAAUUUUUCUCAGAAGAAACAAAAGAAAAAAAACCAAAGGUGAGAAAUUGAUUAACAAGAGAAUCUAUGACUUUACAGAUAGUUGAUGAUCGGAAAAAAUAACAUAUAUGUAUAAAUUCAAGAUGAAAUCAUAAAUCGGUCAAAUGACUGGGCUUGGUACAUUUAAUAUUAACACUAUGUCGCAUUAGAGUUCGGUCGAUCUAUAAAACUAAGACACAUUACUUCUAAGUCGAUAGGAGGCAUCUUCAAUAACAUUCAAAACCUCUAUAUCCCCUAGUCCACGCAGCUUUGUAAGUGAAUUGUCGUCCUCUUAUUAAACAUCUAAAAUAUAGUUCACCAAAAAGAAAUUAAGAUGAGAGAAGUUUAAUCUUUGCUUUCUUUAAAAUUCCAUUGCACCAACUCCCUAGAUGUUGGCCGAGAUGAAGAAGAUAAUCGUAGACACUCCAUAAUUUAUUUUCCCUUCGUUUUCCCGAUAGUUACUGGUUUUACAUAUGCCACAUCUGUACAGGUUCGCUGGCUCCGCGUUGACUUGUGCAUUCACAAACAGAGCUAUGCUAUUCAUUACACCCACCAAGUUCCUUUUUCUUACACCAAAUAUAAUGUUUAUUUUGGGUCCUACCACCGUACUGUAGCAGCAUCUUCUUACAUCCUUUGUAAUAACUGAAAUUACGGCGUUAUGCCUUUUAAUAUUAUCGCACUCCUGGAGAACAUAAUGUAACGUUUUUUUCGUCGAGGCAUUCCGUUAGAUAGCUUCGCUGGGGGUUCUUGAAAGAUUGGGUAAAGUACCGAUCCUGAUUCUGCUAGGUUGAUGAAGUUUAGAGCUGAGAUCCUUCUGAUAUUCGUCAUUGUUGAGUCGGUUUUGAUCUCAACUCUUUUAGAGCUGUAGAUUUCGGCUUAAUUUACGCUCUUGCCAAGAAGCUGACGGCAAGAUAGGUUUAUAUUGUCUCUUUGCUCAUGCUUGGAAAAAUAACAUGUUCACAUCUAAACGUGUACUCGCUAGUCAUACCCAUCUUCUUUUCUUUUUGAUGAUCAUAAUCCUGCUCUUUGAUUCUUGAUUGGAUUGAUGUUAAGUUUGCACUGCUUGAAUUAGUCAAUGAGUUGGAAUAGGAAUGAGCUGAGGGGCUGUUAGGGAUCGUUGCCUUUCUUAUUGAGGUAAAUAGGAGAAUGUUAUCAGUGAAUGCUGCUUCGUCGAUAAUUUUACCUCCUGGUCUCACUACAAUUUUCUUCGGAAAUAAUUGUAGAAGUUGGUGCUUGAUUAGGUCAAAGAGAGGUGAUGACGGUGAAUUGAAUGGUCUUGAUUCCCAUCCAUCGCUAUACAAAGCCGUUCUUCGAUCCCUUGUUUAUUUUCUGAAGAUAUUGGAUCAUGAUUGAUGGGAGGUCUGUAGCUUCCACGUUAGUUAAAAUGGAUUCAUGCGAGACCACAUCGAAGCCUUUAUUUAUAUCUUUACUUAUAUCUAAGGAUGCAAUAAACACUGAUCGAUGCUGGUUACAGUGAUGGCACAGUAUCGUGUUGAGAAUGAAUAUGUUGUCUGAGCAUUCAUCCAUGCUACGAAAGGUCCUUUUGCGAUCAUUUGAUGCUAUCUUCUCCGUUAGUUGUGAAGCUAGAAUUUUGUGUAGGUCUCUAGUUAUGAUGGAGGAUAUGUUAAUCGGCCUAAAGUCACUAGGAGUACACGCAUCUUUUUUCUUGGUGACAAAGAUUGUUCUUGAUACAUUCUAAUCUUGAGUGUGGCCCUCAAAGUUCGCCGCACCAUGGCAAGAGAUUGAAGAUGUGCACAAUGAGAGUCGGUAUGAAAUAGUCGCACACUGAUUUUGUCCGGUUUCGCGGCUGUUAAAGACAAUGAUAGAGCUGUUCGUACUUCUGCUUCAGUAAUUGCAUUCUAAAGAUCACCCAAUUGUUCUCCUGCUAGCUAGCAUUCUGGUUUCUUAUCGAAAGGAGACUGAUCGUUCUCUAGUAUGCUUCCAUGACAUCCCACUGCGUUUGGACUACAUUACUGGUUUCUGAGAGUAUUCUGGACACAACACAGGUCUUCCAUUUGUAUUUGUAUCAAUAUUUGAAUUUCCGCGUAGUUUUUUCUUUGCUUUUCUCUUCUAUUAAUAUUUGUGUUCACCGAAGAUUUUUUAUUUGUCUUCUUGAGACGGUUCUUUAUUGAAGAAACAAAAAUCUCUUGAAGGUACAUGGAGAACUUUUGCAGGGUGACUUCUUUAUCGAAUAUCUUGGCUUGGUCUAAAGUUUGGACGCUGCGAAGGCAUGGAAGUUCAUUGAUGAAAUUGAGAAAGACCCUCUUGGCCAGCUAUGGUAGUCCAUUGAUGAAAUUGAAAGUCGUUGUCCAUAAAUCUUUUCUCCCGAAUCACAGUAAGACUGCAGGUGAUAGUUUCCAUUAUCAGCUUCUGUACCAGAUUUUUUUAUUUCCGUUUCCGACGAUAUUUUUUCAUGGAGUUCAUACUGCGGUCAGAGAAGGCUCGUUGAAGUUCCAUGUUUAUGAAACGGGCUGCCCUGACUUUCGAAGCUGAUGGCGUUGUUGGUUGGCGUACUACUCGUAAUGCAUUUUUUGUUGGUGAACCCGAAGUCCAAUUUUGCUGUCGCAUUUUAGGUAUUUGCAUUUUAGUCGACUUAGUCCGGGGUUGUAUGUUUGGGCUGUAGGUCAGGCUUGGAGUUUCAAUAUGGCAGCGAAUGGUGUCACCAAUUGCUCCAAAGCGGGUUGGAUUGUGAUCGGAUAUACUAUCGAAUAGACAGAAAUCUAUAUCUUUGUUACUUCGUGCGCAACAAAUAUUCUGCGAUAUUAAUUGUAAGUAUGGAUCAGAAAGAGCGGGAGUUAUAUGUGCAAGUUUGUUGUACAGGUUAUGGGUAUCACGAUAACGCUUCAGCUGAAGCUGGUGCGGCCAAAAGCGGAAUUGGGAAUUAGAGAGCGAUGUUCCUAAGUAGCCGAACGAACGGAUCGGUUCAUUAAUCACAGCAAAGUACACACACGCCUUAUUGGAAUGAGCUAAUACUGGACGAGUAGCCGAAAAUGGUUGCCAUGAAGGACGCUAUCCUGGACGCAGCGGCUGUGCCUCAAUCGGUGUCACCUGCAGUGAUAUUAGAGCACGAAGCUUUCUAAUAAGUCGCAUGGAUGCUAGCCAAUCACGGUGAAGAAUGUGUACGGUGGACAGGAACGAGCUAGCACUAAAUGUGUAACAAGAAGAUGGACAACGACAACGAAAUCUUUGGACGCCAUCUUGGAUGCGAUGGCUGCGCCUCAAUCGGUGUCGCCAGUGGAGAGAACCGUAAGAAGAGAACGCAGAACUUUUUAUUUGCAGGGCAUUAUGGAGACUCCCAGGUAGACAGAUUCCUGGCGAUAAGCUCUUUUUCUUUCAGCCAAAGUUUUCUUCAGGGGUUUUUUUUUUGUUCUCAAUUAAGAAAACUGAUGGUGUCCGUAAGGAAAAAUAUUUCGGAGGUCAAAUAAGCUUUCGUUUGGAUCUCUGGGUGGAGAUUUCCUCAGGGACAGUCAACGUGGUAAGAAGAUGCGUGUGCUUGGCGAGGAAUCAAGGAUCUAACACAAACUCGAAGAUUACGAGUGAAUGCGUUUCCAACGAGAGGCAACAUGGGGACACAGCUAGUCACCGGCUGGGCGCGAUUGCGUGUGACUUCUUACCUGACGCCUCUCAGCUGCAUCCUCAACCCUGAAUGGUCCGAGUGCAUCCGAAGGAAGGCGGCCUUCGAGCUGCAAGAAUCGUCCUAGGAAGGUAGGAUAGGACUGUAUCGAUGCCAUCUUCAAAUGUAGAGCACAAAAAAAUAGGAAAUGCCGCGCUUAACGUCGAAAUUAAUAGGCCCGUAACAAUCAGAUCUGAAGAGGCUCCUACAAGAGCUCUUAUGAAUUCGAAGUCGGCAGUGGACCAUAAAACUCAUCUAUUAAAUUUCGAAUCGAUGAGCUUGCGACUGCAAACUCGUAGGAUCGAACGAAAAACCAGAGGCGAGAAUUAUCGAGCGAUUCGUCUUCUUUCCGACAAGAGUCGUUGCAGUAGGAAUGCAUUUAGGUGCAAUAAAACGAAGCAAAAUUGGCCAAUCGAGAGGAAGCAUACGGAAUCUAAAACGGAAUCUAAAACAAUACAGGGAAAACAUAAUACCAAGGGCAAAACCGCGAAAGCAAACCGUAGUUCCGUAAUGACUUCUGCGAACAAGAAAAUAGUUUUCCUCCAUAGAGGAAUUACUUCGGAGCUCGCCAGAGAAGAAACGCACCGGCGCAUCCGUGCGUUUGCUCCCAAAAACGCAUCAUGAAACCUUCAAAAGGAGAAGUGUAUCACUACUACUGCCUCCGAUGAGAAGAAACAUAUGUCCCGCAAUGCUAGGAUAACCCUUGAUUGAUAGGAUAUGACUGAAUCAUUUCCAAUACUAGGGUUCGACAAAAAAAAUCCUGGAAGAUUACUUAAACUGGGGGAGACAACGGAAAUGCUCCCUAGACAGGCCCCACAAAUGUUUCAAAAACCAAAACUGCGAAUGGAUUCAAGCGAAAAGAAUACGGAAAGUUUGUAGGAGCAGAACCACGGUUAGAAAACCGCGAACGAAUACCGCGAGAAUCAUCGCAAGCCUCUUCCAUUAACCCAUUUGCACCAUGAUUCUAUUUAAGUUACUGUGUUCAGACAUCAGCGUCGUUCAACUGACGGUUGGGUCGUAUCAUCGCGCGCGGCCAUAUAUCGACAGUUUUAUUAUUUUCGUUUACUAUUACAGUAGGUAUAUGUGUUCUACAGUAAAUGACUUCAGAAUAGUUUAUGAAAUUUAUAUAACAUCGUAUUUUUUAAAAUGAUCGAUACAUAUUGCUAUAUAGUAAACAUCACGUUUAAAAAUUACUUCUUUUCGAAUUGACAUGGAUAAGCAUACAACGCAUCGCUUUCAUGUUUUGUUCCCUUUUGACAGUGUCGGAGGUAUUCGUAUAGAAAAAUGCCGGCCAGUAUAUCGUGUUAAUGAAUCAUUGAUAGAUAAUGUCUAUUUUACUUUUACGUUUGCUAAAUAUUUUUUAAACAUUUCUUCGACUAAUCAUUGCUUGUAUACAUGGAAAGCUCAAUCUUUUUUAUUGUUUUUGAAAAUUAUAUAAUUAUUUAGUAACAUCAUGUCUAUAAAGUAAACAAAUAUUUUAAGCUUUUUUACAUCUUUUUUUAUAGACUUUUUUACAUCUUAGCAUAGUAUGAAAUUUAUUUAACAUUUAAUCGUCAACAUCAACUCCAUCCAUAUUUUUAUUGUAAUUUAUUAUUAUUGAUGGUUUUAAAAUUUUUUGUCUGGUGUUUUGCGUUUCGGUAAAAUCUAAGGUAUGCAUAAUUAUUAACAAAACAACAUCUUUUUAUCUUUCCUCUUCGUGGCACCAUAUUUCCUGUUGAAAAUAUAAUAGCUACUCCGUUUUCUAAUUGGAGAAAUUUUAGUUCCUGAGGUAUUCCUUUCCUAUUCAUUCUUGCUGUUCCACAUAUUAUAUAAUUCCUAAUAUAAAGUCAGUGAACUGUACCAAUUAUCAAUAAAUAAACAAUAUCCUUUA